rnacentral:rRNA from 1 species
GAUGAACGCUGGCGGCGUGCCUAACACAUGCAAGUCGUACGAGCUCGAUCUUCGGAACGGGUUAGUGGCGCACGGGUGAGUAACACGUAGGUGACCUACCCCAGAGUGGGGGAUAACUUCUCGAAAGAGAGGCUAAUACCGCAUACACUCGGUCAUUCAUUUGGCCGAGCAAAGCUCCGGCGCUUUGGGACGGGCCUGCGUCCGAUUAGCUAGUUGGUAGGGUAAUGGCUUACCAAGGCUUUGAUCGGUAGCUGGUCUGAGAGGACGAUCAGCCACACUGGCACUGACACACGGGCCAGACUCCUACGGGAGGCAGCAGUGAGGAAUAUUGGGCAAUGGGCGAAAGCCUGACCCAGCAACGCCGCGUGAGGGAUGAAGGCCUUCGGGUUGUAAACCUCUUUCUGGGAGAAGAGACAAGGACGGUAUCCCAGGAAUAAGUACUCGGCUAACUACGUAGCCAGCAGCCGCGGUAAU